UACGUAGGUGGCGAGCGUUGUCCGGAUUUAUUGGGUUUAAAGGGUGCGUAGGCGGUCGGAUAAGUUAGAGGUGAAAUCCCGAGGCUCAACUUCGGAAUUGCCUCUGAUACUGUUCGGCUAGAGAGUAGUUGCGGUAGGCGGAAUGUAUGGUGUAGCGGUGAAAUGCUUAGAGAUCGUACAGAACACCGAUUGCGAAGGCAGCUUACCAAGCUACUUCUGACGUUGAGGCACGAAAGCGUGGGGAGCAAACAGG
rnacentral:rRNA from 1 species